GCCGGGCUAGCUCAAUCGGUAGAGCGUGAGACUCUUAGUCCACGGUAUCUCAAGGUUGCGGGUUCGACCCCCGCGUUCGGCU
rnacentral:tRNA from 1 species